rnacentral:lncRNA from 1 species
AGAAGUACUUCCCAGCGAGGAGAAAUUAUUUGCAUAAAUACACCAGUUCUAUGGGGAGGCUGCACAUAUCACAGAUUGUGCAUUGCAAAAUACACACCAAUUUUGGGGCCAGCAAAAGCGCAUAAACAAGGAGACAACAGAACAACAAGUCUAACCCUCACAGGUUUAGUUCAGUGACACAAAUAAAGUAAAACCAGAAGACCACACCCGCUUGCCUUCCCUUACACAGGAAGGGAAGAAACACAAGAACAUCAUGGGCUUCAAGUUGAGUAGCAAACGACACAACGCUAAAUAACCAGUUUAACGACCUACAUGUAGCAACAAAGAGCUAAGUUUUCCACAGCCAACAAAGAGACAUCAACUUUGUCAGAUGCUCCGCCUUCGCUCUAUUACAUUCGCAGCCUUCACCCCCUGCAGAUUGUGCUCAGCCUCAAUCUCUCCCACUUGUUCCUCCACUUGGUAAUCCUUAGGACGUCGACACCAUUCUCUUUGCCUACAAGAUGAGAAAUGGUGAUGCUCAUAUCAAGGGAAAUAUAGGCUCCAUAAAUACUUUAUUUUCCAAACAGCUCUUUACUACUUUUACUACUUACCACCAUCUCAUCAAGGAAGUGAGAGAAAGUCUUCUUGAUUAAGAACACAUUGAGUGCCCUUUUUCUUUGCCUACAAGAUGAGAAAUCAUGAUGCUCAUAUCAAGGGAAAUAUAGGCUCCAUAAAUAAUUUAUUUUCCAAAUAGCUCUUUACUACUUACCACCCAUGAAUCGAGGAAUUGUAUCCUCCUUGCAAAGUCUUCCUUGGCUAUAAACACAUCCAGAAUGGACUUGUCCUCCAGUACCGCAGAAUAGUCCACUAUCUUCUCGUCGUCGACAUGACAAUUCAGCAAAUAC